rnacentral:rRNA from 1 species
AGUGAACGCUGGCGGCAGGCCUAACACAUGCAAGUCGAACGGCAGCACAGAGGAGCUUGCUCCUUGGGUGGCGAGUGGCGGACGGGUGAGGAAUACAUCGGAAUCUGCCCAAUCGUGGGGGAUAACGUAGGGAAACUUACGCUAAUACCGCAUACGACCCCAUAUCGAAGGGUGUGGGGUGAAAGCGUGGGACCGCAAGGCCACGCGCGAUUGGAUGAGCCGAUGCGGAUUAGCUUGUUGGCGGGGUAAAGGCCCACCAAGGCGACGAUCCCGUAGCUGGUCUGAGAGGAUGAUCAGCCACACUGGAACUGAGACACGGUCCAGACUCCUACGGGAGGCAGCAGUGGGGAAUAUUGGACAAUGGGCGCAAGCCUGAUCCAG